rnacentral:rRNA from 1 species
AUUGAACGCUGGCGGCAGGCCUAACACAUGCAAGUCGAACGAGUGGCGGACGGGUGAGUAAUGUCUGGGAAACUGCCUGAUGGAGGGGGAUCACUACUGGAAACUGUAUCAAAUACCGCAUACCAUCGGAUGUGCCCAGAUGGGAUUAGCUAGUAGGUGGGUGAAAGGCUCACCUAGGCGACGAUCCCUAGCUGGUCUGCGAGGAUGACCAGCCACACGGGAACUGAGACACGGGCCAGACUCCUACGGGAGGCAGCAGUGGGGAAUAUUGCACAAUGGGCGCAAGCCUGAUGCAGCCAUGCCGCGUGUAUGAAGAAGGCCUUCGGGUUGUAAAGCACUUUCAGCGGGGAGGCGUUACCCGCAGAAGAAGCACCGGCUAACUCCGUGCCAGCAGCCGCGGUAAUUC